rnacentral:rRNA from 1 species
GGUACUCGAGUGGCGAACGGGUGAGUAACACGUGGGUGAUCUGCCUUGCACUUCGGGAUAAGCCUGGGAAACUGGGUCUAAUACCGGAUAGGACCAUGCUUUAGUGUGUGUGGUGGAAAGUUUUUUCGGUGCAAGAUGAGCCCGCGGCCUAUCAGCUUGUUGGUGGGGUAAUGGCCUACCAAGGCGACGACGGGUAGCCGGCCUGAGAGGGUGUACGGCCACAUUGGGACUGAGACACGGCCCAGACUCCUACGGGAGGCAGCAGUGGGGAAUAUUGCACAAUGGGCGCAAGCCUGAUGCAGCGACGCCGCGUGGGGGAUGAAGGCCUUCGGGUUGUAAACUCCUUUCGCUAGGGAAGAAGCCACUUGUGGUGACGGUACCUGGAUAAGAAGCACCGGCUAACUACGUGCCAGCAGCCGCGGUAAUACGUAGGGUGCGAGCGUUGUCCGGAAUUACUGGGCGUAAAGAGCUCGUAGGUGGUUUGUCGCGUCGUCUGUGAAAUCCCGGGGCUUAACUUCGGGCGUGCAGGCGAUACGGGCAUAACUAGAGUGCUGUAGGGGAGACUGGAAUUCCUGGUGUAGCGGUGAAAUGCGCAGAUAUCAGGAGGAACACCGAUGGCGAAGGCAGGUCUCUGGGCAG